GGGAAUUGAAGAGAGGGCGCCACCACGAGCCGUUUCCUUAAUUGUCCUUUCAUCACGUCGGGGAGGCGAUGAUAACUUAUAAUGCGAGUGGGACCCCCGGACCCCCCCGACUCCCGGAAAGACCCUGCGUUUGUGUUUUGUCUACAGCCGCUCCAACCUCUCCUUGUUUGUGUGCUCGUGCUACCACGUGUUUCGACUGAGUUGCAGGUCACGCCACUUCCUGCGAAAACGGCUUGUCGUGACCCCCCGUGACCCCGAUGACUCCCAACACCAAACUGCGUCAACAAGACUUCAAGAGAGCGUCUAAUGGCUGAGCCCAGUCUGCAGCAUGCGUGAGCGCUGCACGCUGCC
ensembl:lncRNA